rnacentral:rRNA from 1 species
UACGUAGGGUGCGAGCGUUGUCCGGAAUUAUUGGGCGUAAAGAGCUUGUAGGCGGUUUGUCGCGUCUGCCGUGAAAAUUCGAGGCUCAACCUCGAACUUGCGGUGGGUACGGGCAGACUAGAGUGUGGUAGGGGAGACUGGAAUUCCUGGUGUAGCGGUGAAAUGCGCAGAUAUCAGGAGGAACACCGAUGGCGAAGGCAGGUCUCUGGGCCACUACUGACGCUGAGAAAGCGAAAAGCAUGGGGGGAGCGAAACAGGG